CUGGAUUUGACAUCCCGUGAACCUCUCUUAACCCAUUUGGUGCCCUUCGGGGAGCACGGUGACAGGUGCUGCAUGGCUGUCGUCAGCUCGUGUCGUGAGAUGUUCGGUUAAGUCCGGCAACGAGCGCAACCCCUAUCCCUGGUUGCUAGCAGGUAAUGCUGAGAACUCCAGGGAGACUGCCGGUGACAAACCGGAGGAAGGUGGGGAUGACGUCAGGUCAUCAUGGCCCUUACGGCCAGGGCUACACACGUGCUACAAUGGCGCGUACAGAGGGCUGCCAACUCGCGAGAGUGAGCCAAUCCCUUAAAACGCGUCGUAGUCCGGAUCGGAGUCUGCAACUCGACUCCGUGAAGUCGGAAUCGCUAGUAAUCGCGAAUCAGAAUGUCGCGGUGAAUACGUUCCC
rnacentral:rRNA from 1 species